rnacentral:lncRNA from 10 species
CUGCUCCCUAGGAGUUCUCAGUCAAGACACACAAACCCAAUUUAUCUUCAGGCUGGAAAAAGAAAAGGAAGGCCUGAUGAAAACCGUGUAUUUGGCUUUGUUUACAUUAAUGAAGUGAUUGGACAGAAAAAGUCACAAUGACUUUUUUCUUUUGUGAAAAAAAUUAUUGGGAAUGGAAUUUUGAAGUCAGGGAGACUGAAAGAGGACUCACCUAUGUCUAUCUGGAAGAUGUAUCCAAAACACCCAGGAGUUUUGUGCGCAUGUGUAUGAAGGAAGUUCAGCUAGGAAAAGCUUGCAGCCUGGGCAAUACAGCAAGACCCCAAUUCUAAAAAAUUUUUUUUUUAAUUAGCUGGGUGUGAUGGUGUGGCACCUGUGG